AUUGAACGCUGGCGGCAGGCCUAACACAUGCAAGUCGAACGAGUGGCGGACGGGUGAGUAAUGUCUGGGAAACUGCCUGAUGGAGGGGGAUAACUACUGGAAACGGUAGCUAAUACCGCAUACCAUAAGAUGUGACCAGAUGGGAUUAGCUUGUUGGUGGGGUAACGGAUCACCAAGGCGACGAUCACUAGCUGGUCUGAGAGGAUGACCAGCCACACUUGAACUGAGACACGGUGCAGACUCCUACGGGAGGCAGCAGUGGGGAAUAUUGCACAAGGGGCGCAAGCCUGAUCGAGCCAUGCCGCGUGUAUGAAGAAGGCCGUCGGGUUGUAAAGUACUUUCAGCGGGGAGGCGUUACCCGCAGAAGAAGCACCGGCUAACUCCGUGCCAGCCGCCGCGGUAAUUC
rnacentral:rRNA from 1 species